UGGGGAAUCUUGCACAAUGGGGGCAACCCUGAUGCAGCGACGCCGCGUGAGCGAUGAAGCCCUUCGGGGCGUAAAGCUCUUUCGACCGGAACGAUAAUGACGGUACCGGGAGAAGAAGCUGCGGCUAACUACGUGCCAGCAGCCGCGGUAAUACGUAGGCAGCAAGCGUUGUUCGGAGUUACUGGGCGUAAAGAGUGCGUAGGCGGUUUUCUAAGUUCGGUGUGAAAUCUCCCGGCUUAACUGGGAGGGUGCGCCGAAGACCGGGAAGCUGGAGUGUGGGAAAGGCAGGCGGAAUUCCUGGUGUAGCGGUGAAAUGCGUAGAUAUCAGGAGGAACACCGGCGGUGUAGACGGCUUGCUAGACCAUAACUGACGCUGAGGCACGAAAGCGUGGGUAGCAAACA
rnacentral:rRNA from 1 species